rnacentral:tRNA from 1 species
GGGCGAAUAGCUCAGUUGGUUCAGAGCAUCUGCCUUACAAGCAGAGGGUCGGGGGUUCGAAUCCCUCUUCGCCCA